rnacentral:rRNA from 1 species
GCGAAUCGCCCUUGGUGCACCAGGCGCGAAAACUUUACAAUGCCGGCAACGGCGAUAAGGGAACCUCGAGUGCCAGGAUACAAUCUUGGCUGUCGUAAUGCCUAAAAAGCAUUGCAUAGCAAGGGCCGGGCAAGACCGGUGCCAGCCGCCGCGGUAACACCGGCGGCUCGAGUGGUAACCGCUAUUAUUGGGUCUAAAGGGUCUGUAGCCGGCCGGAUAAGUCUUUUGGGAAAUCUGGCAGCUUAACUGUCAGGCUUUCAGAAGAUACUGUUUCGGCUCGAGGCCGGGAGAGGUGAGAGGUACUUCAGGGGUAGGGGUGAAAUCUUGUAAUCCUUGAAGGACCACCAGUGGCGAAGGCGUCUCACCAGAACGGUCCUGACGGCAAGGGACGAAAGCUAGGGGCACGAACCGGAUUAGAUACCCGGGUAGUCCUAGCCGUAAACGAUACUCGCUAGGUGUCGGCCACGGUGCGACCGUGGUCGGUGCCGUAGGGAAGCCGUGAAGCGAGCCACCUGGGAAGUACGGCCGCAAGGCUGAAACUUAAAGGAAUUGGCGGGGGAGCAC